UACGUAUGGUGCAAGCGUUAUCCGGAUUUACUGGGUGUAAAGGGAGCGUAGACGGUUGUGUAAGUCUGGUGUGAAAGCCCGGGGCUCAACCCCGGGACUGCAUUGGAAACUAUGUAACUAGAGUGUCGGAGAGGUAAGCGGAAUUCCUAGUGUAGCGGUGAAAUGCGUAGAUAUUAGGAGGAACACCAGUGGCGAAGGCGGCUUACUGGACGAUCACUGACGUUGAGGCUCGAAAGCGUGGGGAGCAAACAGG
rnacentral:rRNA from 1 species